AAUAGAUACCCGGGUAGUCCACGCUGUAAACGAUGAGGACUGGAUGUGCGCAGGCAAAAGCCUAUGCGUAUCGAAGCUAACGCGUUAAGUUCUCCGCCUGGGGAGUACGGUCGCAAAGAUUAAAACUCAAAGGAAGUUGACGGGGGCCCGCACAAGCGGUGGAGCAUGUGGUUUAAUUCGAUGCAACGCGAAGAACCUUACCUACCCUUGACAUGCCACUAAACCUGCUUAAGAGGUAGGGGUGCCGAAAGGAAAGUGGACACAGGUGCUGCAUGGCUGUCGUCAGCUCGUGUCGUAAGAUGUUGGGUUAAGUCCCGUAACGAGCGCAACCCUUGUCCUUCGUUGCCAUUCUGCAAAGAGGAACUCGAAGGAGACUGCCGGUGAUAAACCGGAGGAAGGUGGGGAUGGACGUCAAGUCAUCAUGGCCUUUAUGGGUAGGGCUACACACGUGCUACAAUGGGCGUUACAGAGGGUUGCGAAGCUGUGAAGCGGAGCCAAGUCUUGGAAAAGCGCUCGUAGUCCGGAUCAGAGUCUGC
rnacentral:rRNA from 1 species